UACAGAGGUCCCAAGCGUUGUUCGGAUUCACUGGGCGUAAAGGGUGCGUAGGCGGUAAGGUAAGUCUGACGUGAAAUCUCCGGGCCUAACCCGGAAACUGCGUUGGAUACUAUCUGACUAGAGGAAUGGAGGGGAGACUAGAAUACUUGGUGUAGCAGUGAAAUGCGUAGAUAUCAAGUGGAACACCAGUGGCGAAGGCGAGUCUCUGGACAUUUCCUGACGCUGAGGCACGAAAGCCAGGGGAGCAAACGGG
rnacentral:rRNA from 1 species